rnacentral:rRNA from 1 species
CCUACGGGAGGCAGCAGUGGGGGAUAUUGCACAAUGGGGGGAACCCUGAUGCAGCGACGCCGCGUGGGUGAUGGAGUGCUUCGGCAUGUAAAGCCCUAUCGGCAGGGAAGAAGCAAGACGGUACCUGACUAAGAAGCCCUGGCGAACUACGUGCCAGCAGCCGCGGUAAGACGUAGGGGGCGAGCGUGAUCCGGAUGCACUGGGGUUAAAGGGACCGUAGACGGGCAUGGAAGCCAGGGGUGAAAGCCCGGGGCCCAACCCCGGGACUGCCCUUGGAACUGGAUGGCUAGAGUGCGGGAGGGGCAGGCGGAAGUCCGGGUGUAGCGGUGAAAUACAUAGAUAUCACGCAGAACUCCGAUUGCGAAGGCAGCAUACCGGCGCGCAACUGACGCUGAUGCACGAAAGCGUGGGUAUCGAACAGGAUUAGAUACCCCGGUAGUC